GCCUGAUGGUGUAGUGGUAACACAUCCCUGCUCAAUAAUUGGCCAGCCAUGAGCAUACAGGGAAGACUCUUGUUCGACUCAAGGGCAGGGGCA